AGAGGUUUGGUGUAAUGGUAACACAGUGCUCUCCAAAAGCACCUAUGAGGGUUCAAAUCCUUCAACCUCUGCCA
rnacentral:tRNA from 1 species